rnacentral:rRNA from 1 species
UGAGGAAUAUUGCGCAAGGGGGGGAACCCUGACGCAGCAACGCCGCGUGGGUGAUGAAGGCCUUCGGGUCGUAAAGCCCUGUCGGGCUGGAAGAACGUCCCUUCGGGGAAUGACGGUACCGCCAGAGGAAGCACCGGCUAACUCCGUGCCAGCAGCCGCGGUAAUACGGAGGGUGCAAGCGUUAUUCGGAAUUACUGGGCGUAAAGGGCGUGCAGGCGGGAGAGCAAGUCUGAUGUGAAAGCCCGGGGCUUAACCCCGGAAGGGCAUUGGAAACUGCUUUUCUUGAGUUCUGGAGAGGAAGGGAGAAUUCCCGGUGUAGAGGUGAAAUUCGUAGAGAUCGGGAGGAAUAUCAGUGGCGAAGGCGCCCAUCUGGACGGUAACUGACGCUGAGACGCGAAAGCGUGAGGAGCAAACA